UGGGAUACCCAUUUAAAAGAAGAAAUGUUUUAAUUAUAAAUUCCUUUUCUUUUAUUCCUUCUCCCCUAAACGCCAGUCCACCCGACCCGAAUCCUUCCUUUCUUCCCCUCUGCCCCGACGCAAACUCCCUUCUCUGUUCUCUCUCGCGGACAAGCGACGCCGAAGGGAAUGAAGCUUUGAUCUUCGGCGAUCUCCCUCUGCCGGCAUCAACACCCUAAGCUCAGAUCUGGCCGGUGUUUCUCCUCUCCGGGUCUUCUUCGGCUGAGGAGUUGCUAUUCGGUGGAUUUUGCACCGAUUGUUAACGAUCGGUGGCUAGGGCAUGGUGAGGGGUCGGAUCUUGCAUCGUCUUCCAUCGGUAGACCUUCCCUCUCCUCUCCUCGUGUUGGACACAGUGCGAUUACUCUCUUCGCUAGCCGGAUUGGACCGAGCGGCGCCACCUAGCAGCGAUUUGGGAGUUUACACGAGGAGGAGAGCAUCGGAUUGCUGUGGAUUCUUCCUAUUGUCGAUCAUUGCUUUCUUCUUUCUUGAAGCUGUGGAGGUCUCAGAGUAAGCAACCCAUCCAUCAGUGUUCCCUUGAUCCAGAAUCAACAGCAGCUGGAUUGAGGACUCUGAUUCGAGACGGGCGUCUCGACCUUGGAUUGCUUGAGUAUACCUUCUUUUUGAGGCGGGUACCCUUUGACUUAUCUUUUUGAUAUUGUCUUAUGAUAUGUGUAGCUUAUAUAUAAUUACUAGUGAUUGAUAGAGUUAGCAUUUCCCCGGUGUUAGCUUAGUUGAUACCUGAUACAUGUUGCUACUGUCAUCUGCUGUACUUUCGUCUGGUAUACCUUUACUACUUACCAUGUGUAUGUAUGUUGAUAGAGAUGGAUAUUUAUGAUGCUUAUCUACACUUGAUUAGUUGCUGGAGAUACUUGUUAUAUGUUGUUGGAUUUGCAUUGCUUAUAUCAUUGUUAUACAUAUGUGUUUGUUUUAUUGGCA